rnacentral:rRNA from 1 species
GGGGAGUGAGUAAAGUGGCGUACGGGUGAGUAAUACGUGGGUAACCUACCCUUUGAUGCGGGACAACAGCUCGAAAGGGCUGCUAAUACCGCAUAAGUCGGCGAGGUCUUUGGAUCUUUCCGGGAAAGGUGGCCUCUACAUGUAAGCUAUCGUCAGAGGAGGGGCCCGCGUCCCAUUAGCUUGAUGGUGAGGUAAUGGCUCACCAUGGUUUAGAUGGGUAGCUGGUCUGAGAGGAUGAUCAGCUACACUGGGACUGAGAUAUGGCCCAGACUCCUAUGGGAGGCAGCAGUGGGGAAUAUUGGACAAUGGGCGAAAGCCUGAUCCAGCCACGCCGCGUGUGUGAUGAAGGCCCUCGGGUCGUAAAGCACUGUGGAGGGGGACGAACAACCUGAAGAAUAAUACCUUCAGGUUUGACGGUACCCCUUUAGCAAGCACCGGCUAACUCCGUGCCAGCAGUUGCGGUAAUACGGAGGGUGCAAACGUUGCUCGGAAUCAUUGGGCGUAAAGCGCGUGUAGGCGGUACGUUAAGUCGAGUGUGAAAGCCCUGGGCUCAACCCAGGACGUGCGCUCGAUACUGGCGAACUUGAGUACGGGAGAGGGUAGCGGAAUUCCCGGUGUAGAGGUGAAAUUCGUAGAUAUCGGGAGGAACACCAGUGGCGAAGGCGGCUACCUGGACCGAUACUGACGCUGAGACGCGAAAGCGUGGGUAGCAAACAGGAUUAGAUACCCUGGUAGUCCACGCCGUAAACGAUGAGUGCUAGGUGUCGCGGGUAUUGACCCCUGCGGUGCCGCAGUUAACGCAUUAAGCACUCCGCCUGGGGAGUACGGCCGCAAGGCUAAAACUCAAAGGAAUUGACGGGGGCCCGCACAAGCGGUGGAGCAUGUGGUUUAAUUCGACCAUGCGAAGAACCUUACCUGGGUUGGAAACCCCUGGAACCCCCUAGAGAUAGGGGGGUGCCCUUCGGGGAGCCGGGUGUUCAGGUGCUGUAUGGCUGUCGUCAGUUUGUGUCGUGAGAUGUUGGGUUAAGUCCCGCAACGAGCGCAACCCUUGUCUCUAGUUGCCAGUGGUUAGGCCGGGCUAUUUUAGAGAGACUGCCGGUGUUAAACCGGAGGAAGGUGGGGAUGACGUCAAGUCCUUAUGGCCCUUAUGCCCAGGGCUACACACGUGCUACAAUGGCGGCUACAGCGGGCAGCGACACUGUGAGGUGAAGCCAAUCCCUAAAAAGCCGCUCAGUUCGGAUUGGAGUCUGCAACUCGACUCCAUGAAGUCGGAAUCGCUAGUAAUCGGAGAUCAGAACGCUCCGGUGAAUACGUUCCCGGGCCUUGUACACACCGCCCGUCACACCAUGGAAGUCGGUUGCUCCAGAAGUGGCUGAGCUAACCCUUUGGGGAGGCAGGUCCCUAAGGAGUGACUGGUAAUUGGGGUGAAGUUGUAACAAGGUA